GAUGAACGCUAGCGGCAGGCCUAACACAUGCAAGUCGAGGGGUAGAAGCUUUCGGGCUUUGAGACCGGCGCACGGGUGCGUAACGCGUAUGCAACCUGCCUUGUACUGAGGGAUAGCCCAGAGAAAUUUGGAUUAAUACCGCAUAAAAUAAUUGAGCGGCAUCGUUUAAUUAUCAAACGUCAGGGUUGAAGAUGGGCAUGCGUCCGAUUAGUUUGUUGGUGAGGUAACGGCUCACCAAGACUACGAUCGGUAGGGGAUCUGAGAGGAUGACCCCCCACACUGGUACUGAGACACGGACCAGACUCCUACGGGAGGCAGCAGUAAGGAAUAUUGGUCAAUGGACGCAAGUCUGAACCAGCCAUGCCGCGUGCAGGAAGACGGUCCUCUGGAUUGUAAACUGCUUUUGUUAGGGAAGAAACCCCUGGAUGCGUCCGGGGCUGACGGUACCUAAAGAAUAAGGAUCGGCUAACUCCGUGCCAGCCGCCGCCGUAAAAC
rnacentral:rRNA from 1 species